UACGUAGGGUGCAAGCGUUUGUCCGGAAUUAUUGGGCGUAAAGAGCUCGUAGGCGGUCUGUCGCGUCUGCUGUGAAAACUCGGGGCUUAACCCCGGGCCUGCAGUGGGUACGGGCAGACUAGAGUGCGGUAGGGGAGACUGGAAUUCCUGGUGUAGCGGUGAAAUGCGCAGAUAUCAGGAGGAACACCGGUGGCGAAGGCGGGUCUCUGGGCCGAUACUGACGCUGAGGAGCGAAAGCGUGGGGAGCGAACAGG
rnacentral:rRNA from 1 species